AAUCUUCAGGCUCUGUAAUCAGAGAAGAAAUAUUGUCUCCGAUCUUUGACCACGGAUGUACUGGCAUUGAUGGUUGAGACAAACAGAAGGUCGGGUUAGCCCGGCCUUUUUUAUU
rnacentral:sRNA from 1 species